GACGAUGAGGGUAAAUUGUUGUUACUCAGCAAAGGCGCUGACAGCAUAAUGUUCGAAAGGCUUGCAAAGAGUGGAAGAACAUUCGAGGAAAAGACAAGGGAGCAUAUCGACGAUUAUGCGGAUGGUGGUUUGAGAACUUUGGUUCUUGCAUACCGCGAGCUCGAUGAACAAGAAUAUGAAAAUUUCAACAGAGAAUUCACAGAGGCCAAGAAUUCAGUCAGCGCGGAUAGAGAUGAUAA
rnacentral:misc_RNA from 1 species